AGUCCCGACUUGACGAAGAUCAUGGAGAACUUGUCAAACCCCAUUGUCAGUCAUAUGCAAAAUUGGCUCGACUCAAGUUCACCUAUGAAUCCCAUGAAAACUCUUUUCUAUUAUUCACAUUUGCUUUGGCCAAAGACUUUCUGAACUCAAUCUCAUGAAUCACAUAGGACUUCUCCUUUUCUACCAAGGUCGAUAGAUUUUAUGUAGGUACAUCCUACUCUAAAUAGCGAACUUAAACCUACUGUAGCCAACAUACAUAGCAAGGAUCCGAAUGGCUAGGGAUCAAAAAAAUAUACAGUCAAACUCAGUAGCCUCACUACGAAUAGUUGAUGACACGGC
rnacentral:lncRNA from 1 species